rnacentral:rRNA from 1 species
UGGCUCAUUAAAUCAGUUAUCGUUUAUUUGAUAGUACCUUACUACUUGGAUAACCGUGGUAAUUCUAGAGCUAAUACAUGCUGAAAACCCCGACUUCGGGAGGGGCGUAUUUAUUAGAUAAAAAACCAAUGCCCUCCGGGGCUUUUUGGUGAUUCAUGAUAACUUAACGGAUCGCAUGGCCUUGCGCCGGCGACGGUUCAUUCAAAUUUCUGCCCUAUCAACUUUCGAUGGUAAGGUAUUGGCUUACCAUGGUUUCAACGGGUAACGGGGAAUUAGGGUUCGAUUCCGGAGAGGGAGCCUGAGAAACGGCUACCACAUCCAAGGAAGGCAGCAGGCGCGCAAAUUACCCAAUCCCGACACGGGGAGGUAGUGACAAUAAAUACUGAUACAGGGCUCUUUUGGGUCUUGUAAUUGGAAUGAGUACAAUUUAAAUCCCUUAACGAGGAACAAUUGGAGGGCAAGUCUGGUGCCAGCAGCCGCGGUAAUUCCAGCUCCAAUAGCGUAUAUUAAAGUUGUUGCAGUUAAAAAGCUCGUAGUUGAAUCUUGGGCCUGGCUGGCCGGUCCGCCUCACCGCGUGCACUGGUCCGGCCGGGUCUUUUCUUCUGGAGAGCCCCAUGCCCUUCACUGGGUGUGCGGGGGAACCAGGACUUUUACUUUGAAAAAAUUAGAGUGUUCAAAGCAGGCCUUUGCUCGAAUACGUUAGCAUGGAAUAAUAGAAUAGGACGUGUGGUUCUAUUUUGUUGGUUUCUAGAACCGCCGUAAUGAUUAAUAGGGAUAGUCGGGGGCAUCAGUAUUCAAUUGUCAGAGGUGAAAUUCUUAGAUCAAUUGAAGACUAACUACUGCGAAAGCAUUUGCCAAGGAUGUUUUCAUUAAUCAGUGAACGAAAGUUAGGGGAUCGAAGACGAUCAGAUACCGUCGUAGUCUUAACCGUAAACUAUGCCGACUAGGGAUCGGGCGGCACACAAUUUUGGUCCGCCCGGCACCUUACGAGAAAUCAAAG